GAUAGCUAAGACCGGAUAACUGGUUUUCUCGCAUGAGAGAAUUAUGAAACACGGAGCAAUCUGUGGCUGAUAGAUGGGCCUGCGGCGCAUUAGCUAGUUGGUGGGGUAACGGCUCACCAAGGCGACGAUGCGUAGCCGACCUGAGAGGGUGAACGGCCACACUGGGACUGAGACACGGCCCAGACUCCUACGGGAGGCAGCAGUAGGGAAUCUUCCGCAAUGGACGCAAGUCUGACGGAGCAACGCCGCGUGAGUGAUGAAGGUUUUCGGAUCGUAAAGCUCUGUUGCCCUAGACGAACAGCAUGAGGAGUAACUGCCUUGUGUGUGACGGUAUAGGAGAAGAAAGCCCCGGCUAACUACGUGCCAGCAGCCGCGGUAAUACGUAGGGGGCAAGCGUUGUCCGGAAUUAUUGGGCGUAAAGCGCGCGCAGGCGGUUGAUUAAGUUGGGUGUUUAAGCCCGGGGCUCAACCCCGGUUCGCAUCCAAAACUGGUUGACUUGAGUGUAGGAGAGGAAAGUGGAAUUCCACGUGUAGCGGUGAAAUGCGUAGAGAUGUGGAGGAACACCAGUGGCGAAGGCGACUUUCUGGCCUAUAACUGACGCUGAGGCGCGAAAGCGUGGGGAGCAAACAGGAU
rnacentral:rRNA from 1 species